UAGCUCAGUUUUCUCUUCAUUCACGCACAAAUCUUUCGCCUUUUACUAAAUAUAUCCAUGGAUGGAACAUUGAGUCCUAAUUUUGAAGGCAGAGUGAAACCUGCU
ensembl:snRNA U5 U5 spliceosomal RNA